rnacentral:misc_RNA from 1 species
UGGUUCUCGCAUCGAUGAAGAACGCAGCGAAUUGCGAUAUGUAAUGUGAAUUGCAGAAUUCAGUGAAUCAUCGAAUCUUUGAACGCACCUUGCGCCCUUUGGUAUUCCGAAGGGCAUGCCUGUUUGAGUAUCAUUAAUACCUCACUCUUGAAUUCCUUUGUGAAGCCAAGCAAGUGGAUUUUGGAGGUCUUGCAGGCCAUCGCUGGUCGGCUCCUCUUAAAAGAAUUAGUGGAACUCUAUGCAGUACCAGCCUCGGUUUGAUAAUCCUAUCUAUGCUGUCGCUGAUGGACUGUGCUGUUUGGCUUACAACUGUCUUCGGACUGUCGCUUUUGCGGCAUAACAUUAAACUUGAUCUCAAAUCAGGUAGGACUACCCGCUGA